AAUUUAGUUCAUAUAAAGUAGCGUUUCGAGUGAGGGGAAGAGAGAGAGAGCGGGGUAGAGAUGGAACCAUCGGUGGUUUUGGGUGAAAAAGAUUACUUGGCAUGCUGUGGGAGCGUCAGAUUUGCCGAGGAGAUGGUUUUAGCUGGACCCUUCUCCGAUUAUCAACGAACUGUUAAUGCUGCGAGAGAUAUCUGGUUCAACAAAGUCUGUCCCUCUCCCUCUCUUUCUCUCUAUUUACACUGAUGAUUAUGUAUAUAUGUGUGAGUUUUCUUAUUGGGCGAAUGAAUCUGUUUUCAGGUGGAUGUGAAUGGGUGGUUGGAAGCCUUUGCUGCUCAUCCGCAGAUUGGUGAAAGCCCUUCUAGAACCCACAAAAGUCCCACCAGUGCACAGUUCAGUUUUCUGCCCCUCUCAAAUAUUUUCUUUUCAUUUGUUGUUAAUUUUUUGGGGGGUUUGGGGUGUGGGUGGGAGACCCUGUGGGCUAGAUUGAUUUCAAGGUUUUGAUUUCAACACUUCUGACUUAAUGAUCCGGACCAAGCCCCGAGUUCUUGACUGAACUAGAUAUUCAUUUAGUUUUUGUUUUUCUGAAUUCCAUUACAUGAUUUUUGCUUGAUCAAUGACAGUGAGCUCAGAAGUGAUUUGAACUCAUGAGAUGACUAGAAGAUUUUUAUGCUCUUCUCUUAUGAAUUAUUUCAAGAAAAAUCUGAACUUUUUAUUUCUUACAUCUGAUUGUGGAAUUUAUAUCUCGGAAGAUCAGAAUCUCUGAUAAUUCUAAGUUAACUGAGAUUAGUUAGUUUGAGCGUGUAGUUUGUUUUCAUUUAUCUUCUCGGGUUCUGUUUUUAAACCGGGAAGGGGACCGGGAGUUGACUGAAAGGAUUGUGGUUCUCAACUACAAUAGAUCCAAAAGUGAUGCCAAACGGUUUUUAACACACUGCAGUCGAGUGCUCCACACUCCACUUUACAAAACAAUAAUAAGAAUUCUGCUUCCUUAUUUGGCUUGACUACACGAAAACCCUUUAUCUGAACUUUUCUUGAUUAGAGGUCAACAUUUCUUGAUUAGAGCUGCAUCUACAACAAUGGAGUCAAUGUGUUUUGCAACCAUUCCAAGCCAUGUUAAUUUUGAUUUUCUCUUCUAUCUUUCAAUUUGUUGGGUUGGGAUGGUGGCUCAAAUUGUAAAUGACAACUUAUUUUUGCUUAAACAAGAAAUAUUGCAAUUUUUUAUAAUUCUUCCUUUAAUUUAUACUCAAUUAGUGACCUGCAUUUGUUAGUUUAUAUUAUCAUUACUUAUUUUAUUCAUUAUUGUUUGGCCACGUGCAUUUUACCAUUUAUAUUCAUGCUAUUUUCAAUUAUCAAUUUUUUUUAAUGGUUAUACACGCAACACAUACAAUAUAGCUUGCCCAGAAGCCCUUUCCUAAAAUUUGUUCUGUUUAUCGAUUCUCCAUUCUAUCUCAACACACUUUAUACUGUGCCUUACGUUUACUUCUAUCCCUUAUUGAUAAUCGAAUCUAAAUACCCAACGAAAUUGCUUUUCAACAAAAGAUUCUCUAUUUUGAUUCCAUUGUCAUCCUUAUUGCUAUUACUGAAAAUGAUAUUAUUUGGAUUCCAUUUCAGUAUACUGAAGCUGAAACCCGAUACCCUUGAAUUCUAAAGUGCUCCUCAAAAUGUUUACUUUACGGAACUCAUAGCGUAUAAUCUAAAACAAGUAUCCAUUACUCAUAAUAUAGUUCAAUUGACUUCAUACCGGACACGUAGCAUCCCUAAAAUUUCUAUAGCAUUCGUAUGUUGAGCUCUUUAAUUUCUUACAAUUUAGUGCAACAAGUCUAGAGCCAUUGGGCUUGGUCCAUGUGUGAAAUAUUUGCUCAAAUGUAACCCUCAAUUCUAGCCCAAUAAAAAUAAUUUCAAUGCCAUAUGAUGGAUUUAUUUCCAUUUUCAACAAGGGUUGAUUGACAUAAUAGUAACCUGCAUGGUUUGACAAGUAAACAACCCAGGUUCUAAUCACCAUUUAUUUUACUCGGAAGUGUUUGACGUACAAAUGCUAUGAAAAUUUUCUGGGUGCUACAGGAUAUUUUGUAAGCUAUAGACAACUGUGAAAGAACAAAAAGGAAAAGGACUUAAUUGAUAACCUUGGUGUCAUAU
rnacentral:lncRNA from 1 species